rnacentral:rRNA from 1 species
GACAGCAGCAGCCGCGGGAAUACGGAGGGGGCUAGCGUUGUUCGGAAUUACUGGGCGUAAAGCGCACGUAGGCGGCUUGGUAAGUUAGAGGUGAAAGCCCGGAGCUCAACUCCGGAAUUGCCUUUAAGACUGCCGAGCUAGCAGGUGAGAGAGGUAAGUGGAAUUCCGAGUGUAGAGGUGAAAUUCGUAGAUAUUCGGAAGAACACCAGUGGCGAAGGCGGCUUACUGGCUCAUACUGGACGCUGAGGUGCGAAAGCGUGGGGAGCAAACAGGAUUAGAUACCCGUGUAGUCCCUGUCUCUUAUAC